UAAGGAAUAUUGGUCAAUGGGCGGAAGCCUGAACCAGCCACGCCGCGUGCAGGAAGAAGGCCCUAUGGGUUGUAAACUGCUUUUAUACGGGAAGAACGUCCCUCCUGCGGGGGGGUAUGACGGUACCGUAGGAAUAAGCAUCGGCUAACUCCGUGCCAGCAGCCGCGGUAAUACGGAGGAUGCAAGCGUUAUCCGGAUUCAUUGGGUUUAAAGGGUGCGUAGGUGGGCUUAUAAGUCAGAGGUGAAAUCCGGCAGCUUAACUGUCGAACUGCCUUUGAUACUGUAAGUCUUGAGUUAAGUUGAAGCAGGCGGAAUAUGACAUGUAGCGGUGAAAUGCAUAGAUAUGUCAUAGAACACCGAUAGCGAAGGCAGCCUGCUAAACUUACACUGACACUGAUGCACGAAAGCGUGGGUAGCGAACAGG
rnacentral:rRNA from 1 species